rnacentral:lncRNA from 1 species
GAUAAGUCAAAAUUUAAUCUCAUCGAGGCUGUUGCAAACACGCCUGUUGUGCUAAGCAAGAGGGAGAUGACCCACUCCUUUGUCCGAGCUUCCGAUGUUAUCGGGAGAGACGAUGAUAAAGAAAAUAUUGUUGGGCUUUUGAUGCAACCUAGCGAUACUGAGAAUGUUUCUGUAAUUCCCAUAGUCGGGAUUGGGGGGCUAGGCAAGACAACUCUGGCUGGACUUGUGUAUAAUGAUGAGAGAGUAGUGGGGCAAUUCUCCACUAAAAUGUGGGUUUGUGUGUCAGAUGAGUUUGAUAUUGAAAAGCUGGUAAAGAAAAUCCUUAAGGAGAUCAGGAAAGGUGAUGAAAGUUACAGUGACUCCUCCAUGGUGCAGUUGCAGAGUCAUCUUAGAAAUGCAUUAGAUGGUGAAAAAUUCUUGCUGGUUUUGGAUGAUGUGUGGAAUGCGGAUCGUGAGAAGUGGCUUAAGCUGAAAGACUUGCUCGUGGACGGUGCCAAUGGAAGCAAAAUUCUUGUAACUACACGCAAGAAGUCAACUGCUUCAAUCAUGGGCACUUUUCCCAUGCAAGAAAUAAAGGGUCUUUGUCAUGACGAUUGUUUGUCUUUAUUUGUGAAAUGCUCAUUUAGGGACGGAGAAGAUGAGUAUCCAAACCUUUUAAAAAUUGGGGAUCAGAUUGUUGAGAAAUGUGCAGGGGUUCCCCUUGCUGUGAGAAGUUUAGGGAGUUUACUGUAUUCGAAAAGGGAUGAAUGGGAUUGGGUAUCCAUUAGAGAUAGCGAAAUAUGGGAAUUAGAACAAAAUGAAGAUGGUAUUAUGGCUGCAUUAAGACUGAGCUAUUAUGAUUUGCCUUAUCACUUGAAGCAAUGCUUUGCUCUUUGUUCAGUAUUUGCCAAAGAUUUUGAAUUUAGUAAUGUUGAAUUGAUCUCAACUUGGAUGGCAGAAGGCCUCAUUCAUUCAUCGGGACAAAAUGCCAAAAUGGAGGAUAUUGGUGAGAGAUAUAUUAAUGAGCUAUUAUCGAGAUCUUUCUUUCAAGAUGUUGAGCAACGGAUACCAGGAGUAUUAUAUACAUUCAAAAUGCAUGAUCUUGUACAUGAUCUUGCGAUGUUUUUUGCACAACCUGAGUGUUUAACACUAAAUUUUCACAAGAAAGAUAUUCCUAAAAGGGUUCAACACGCCGCAUUUUCUGAUACCGAGUGGCCCAAAGAAGAGUCUGAAGCUUUAAGAUUCUUGGAGAAGCUGAAUAAUGUUCAUACCAUUUAUUUUCAAAUGGAAAAUGUGGCCCCUAGAAGCGAAUCAUUUGUUAAGGCAUGCAUCUUGAGAUUCAAAUGUAUACGGAGAUUGGAUUUACAAGACUCUAACUUUGAAGCAUUGCCUAAUUCUAUUGGUAGUCUGAAGCAUCUAAGAUACUUGAACCUAAGUGGGAAUAAGAGAAUCAAGAAACUCCCUAAUUCCAUUUGCAAGCUAUACCAUUUGCAAUUUUUGACACUCUUUGGUUGUUCAGAACUUGAAGAAUUACCAAGAGGCAUAUGGAGUAUGAUCAGUUUGAGGACGGUAUCUAUAACAAUGAAACAAAGGGAUUUAUUUGGAAAGGAAAAAGGGUUGAGAAGCUUGAAUUCUCUUCAACAUUUACAAAUUGUUGAUUGUCUCAAUUUGGAAUUUUUGUCUAAAGGAAUGGAAAGCCUUAUUCAACUUCGAAUAUUAGUCAUUAGCGAUUGUCCAAGUUUGGUUUCUUUGUCACAUAAUAUAAAAUUCUUGACUGCAUUAGAGGUGUUGGUAAUUGACAAUUGUCAAAAACUUGAAUCCAUGGAUGGGGAAGCAGAAGGGCAAGAAGACAUUCAAAGCUUUGGGAGCCUACAAAUUUUGUUCUUUGGUGAUUUACCACAAUUGGAGGCUUUACCGAGGUGGCUUCUUCAUGGGCCAACUUCUAACACUUUACAUCAAUUACAUAUUUCAAAUUGCCCAAGCUUGAGAGCAUUGCCAGAAAGUGGGUUGCAAAAGCUCGUAUACCUUCAAAAACUUGAGAUUGAAGAUUGUCCUGAAUUGAUUGGAAGAUGCAAAACUGAAACGGGGGAAGAUUGGCAAAAAAUCGCUCAUAUACCUAAAAUAUAUCUUGAUGGAGAAAAGAUUGCAUCGUUAACCAAUAAUUAGGUAAGGGAGAACUCUUAAAUUCUAGUUUAUUUUCUUAUUAAUUUCACACGGCACUUUGUUACCCUCAUUUAUCUAGUUCUGAUUUUUAAUUUUAUUCUUUUAGUAUGAAGUGUAAUCCUCAAUGCGUCAUUUGGUUUAAUUGGUUUUUUAGACAAAAUUUCUAUUAUGAUUUUUUAUAACAUUUAUAAAUCAAAGUUUAUUAUUUCUUUAGUAUAUAUAAUCUUAAGAAAGAAGGGAAAAAAAAAAUGAAGCACAGGCAACCAAAUAAACUUUGAUGGGUAUUUCCAUAUAGAGAGAGAGAUAUAUAAAUGUUGGAAAUAUUGUUACCACAUUUGUCAUUUCUUGUAUCUAAUCAAAUGUGGCUCUUCUGCUUUGAUUGGAUGAUGCGGUUGGAAGUUGGAAAUAUUGUUACUAGAGUCAGACUAGUCAUUUCUUUUAAGUAUCUAUUCAUCUCGUUGCCUUUUCUAUUGAGAAUGUUUAAUUUGUCGAUUUUCCAUGAUAUUAUGUUUGAAUCUGUUGUUGAUAUUGAGAUAUUGGCAAUUAAUGAAAGGUAGCAUAUGUUAAGGAUAAUAAUUUAUGCUCUGAAGAUGACCUCUCCCGGUUGCCCAUUCUUUAAUAGUGACAGAGGCCAUGCAUUCUCUUCUUCUAGUUGUCAAUUUCUUUCCAUAAAAUUUUAAUGAUAUUGGUCUUUCUAUCUUGUUGUUGGAAAAUAAAAAUACAAACAGGCGGACUGGGUAAGAAAUGGAGAGUUGACCUGGAAAUGGAGGACUAAUCAAAUAUGGUUCUUCUGCUAUGAUUGGAUGAUGCGGUUGGAAGUUGGAAGUUGGAAGAGAGUUGAUGGAGCUGGAAAUGGAGAACUGAUCAAAGCUAGUGUUUGGGUCCUUGCUUGCUUACCAGUCUUUUUCUUGAUUCUUGACUUGUUGCCUCAGUGCUGAAUUCUGGAGUGGUGUGCUUGUUUAUUAUUUGUCUUAUUUUCACAUAGACUCAUGUGUAAGGUUGUUUUGGUUGUUUGGAGUUUGGAGUGUGAACUUUGAUUUAGUUUACAAUAAAAGAUUGAUGGAUUCAUUUAUCAAUCAAAUAUAUGAAUGAUAAUAUACGAUUCUAAUUUAGUUUACACAUUAUUGGUAAAAUAUAAAUGACAAUACACGAUUUUGAUUUGCCCGUAUUCAUAAUUUCCUCCUCCAACAUUCUCUAUAUAUAUCAUGCAUGGACGCACAUAUAUAUGAAUACGAGAUUCUCCGCAUGUAUUCCGUGUCCUAAAAUCAAGGACUUUUUUGGCCAACAUAGGAGAGAAUUGAACUGGAACUGGAGUGACUAAUCAAGGCUACCGUUUGGAAUCAAAGCCACAACCUUGGUUUGGGAACACAGAGACUGAAUUAUCUAUCCUACUAUACUUUGAUGCCCUGCUUGGUUGCAAAAAUUUGCCUCUUUGACCUGGAGGAUGUUUCUUACAUACAUUUGAUUUUUUUUUCCUUUUUCUUUUUCUCUGCUCUAACCAAUAAAUUGGAACUUAGGAAAAAAAAUAUAUCUUCCUUCAAUCCAAGUCUCGAUUUCUGGCCAUGUUAAGAUUUUUUUGUCGAGCAACAUCCAAUCUUUGAAAGCAUGGUCUUCUUUUGAUUCUAAGCCCCUCAUAAUAUAAUUUUUUUUCUAAUUAAUGUGUUUAAAAAUGUUAAAGAGAAUGAUUUGUAAGAUAAUCUUAUUCAUUUUGGUAGCUAUUUUGAAAAACAUGUAAAAUAUUUUUUUCAAAAAUAAUUUUAUAAAAUUAGAGAUCAUAAAAUAAAAGAAAUUAAAAAAAUAAAUAUUUUUUUAAAUAAUUGGUUAAAAAAGAUGAAAUACUUUUCAUAUUUGUGAAUUUAUUAUUUUCUAUAUUUUUAUUUGAAGAGUAACUUAUUUUUUACAUAAAUAUCCUUUUUUAUUUCAAGUAUUUAUAAUAUAUUUUAAAAGAAAUAAUUAUUUUUACACGAAAACAAUAAAGGUAUUUUUAUCAAAAUUAGGCCAAAAAAAUUAUUAAGGGUUAUAUUUUCAAAAUUAGGUUUCCAAUAACCAAUAACCUUUUAAUUAAAUAAUCCAUAAUUUUCCCGAGAUGGUAUAUGACUUUAUUAGAGAUAGAAUUUCUUAUAUUAAGAAGAAAAUUUCAAAGUUUAAAAUUACAUUCGGGUGAGUAUCUACAAUUAAGAUAUAAAAUGCAAAUUUCUAAAAUGAUGUAAUGAGAACCAUUAUAUAAUAUCAUAGCUUUUCUAUUUUUACCCCUUAAAUUUGUAAGAAAAAAUUAUUUAUUUUGAGAAGUUGAUUUAUAAAACAAUUUCAGGUCUCAUGAUAAAAGUUUAUUCUUUCACAUUCUGUUUUACAAAGGCAAGUCCCAAAUACAAUCAAUAAAAUAUAAAUUAUAAAAAUAUGAUGUUGGGGUCAAUUGGAAUUUCAACUAAAUGACAAAUUUUUAGUACAAUUUGGAAAAAAAAAUGUUUUAUUCUAUAAAAGGAAUUGAAAAAAAAUUCAAACUUCUCAUAAGUGAAUGGAUUUAAUUUUAUGUUUUAAGAAAGAAAAAUCAUAAAUUGAAACUUAAUUAUUAAUGUUCCCCUUGUUUUAAUGAUUGAAAAAGUAACUUAUAAUCUCUAGAAGAAUUAUAAUAAAUUUAGUAAUAAUUUAUUAAAUAAUAUUUAUAAAAAUUGUAUUUAUUUAUAAUUAAAUUAAGACCUCUUAAGAUUUAGUGUAAAUACACUAAAAUAUCAAAAGUAUUAAAUUUUAUCAUUUAGGAUUCCUAUAAAUGUAUUUCAUAUAUAAAUUUUAUAUUUUAAAUAAUAAAAUUUAAUUUUUAGAGGACCGUUAAAUACUACUUUCCAAAAUAUUUUUACUUAAAAUCUCUCUGAAAAAGGUAAAUUUGGUAAAUAAAAUAAAUUUAUUAAAGUAUUAAUUGAUGAAAUUUAAAACCGAUCAUGAUUGAGACAAAACCGUAGGCUUGAGUGAAAUUAACCCUUAAACAAACCAAAAAAAAAAAAGUCUCUCCUCUUGUGAGCAUCAAUGAGUAUGGUCCAAGUGAGUCAAGUGACUUCCUUGGACAAUAAAAAAGUUUCCAAUGCUUUACACACGUCCCUUUAUUACUGGAUGAAUUGAUUAUAGGGACAGAAGCGUCAUUACAAUGUGUUAACAUUGACCCGAGCAUCGACUUUGCCAAGAAUCAUUUCAGAUCUCGGAUCUCUGAUUCUCAAUUUACCUUUCCCAUUCCCAAACAACCACCAUCGCCCAUCGCUAGCUCUUCAAUUCCCUGCUUCUCUGCAACAUGGUUGAAUCAUUUGCCUUUGCCAUAGCUGACAGAGUUUUGGGGAAGUUGGGCUCUGCCCUCAUCCAAGAAGUUGGCCUUGCCUGGGGUGUUAAAACCGAGCUGGAAGAGCUCAACGAUACUUUAUCCACCAUCCGAGCGGUGCUCUUAGAUGCUGAGGAGAAGCAAGCCACCAGCCAUCAGCUGAGAGAUUGGCUGGGAAAGCUCAAAGUUGGCUUUUAUGAUGCUGAAGAUAUUGUCGAUGAAUUUGAAUAUGAGGCCUUACGCCAGAAAGUGGUGGCUAGUGGGAGUUUUAAAACCAAGGUAUGCAGUUUCUUUUCAAGUCCAAAGUCACUUGCAUUCAAUCUUAAGAUGGGUCAUAGGGUGAAGAAGAUAAGAGGGAGAUUGGAUAAAAUUGCAGCUGAUAAGUCAAAAUUUAAUCUCAUCGAGGCUGUUGCAAACACGCCUGUUGUGCUAAGCAAGAGGGAGAUGACCCACUCCUUUGUCCGAGCUUCCGAUGUUAUCGGGAGAGACGAUGAUAAAGAAAAUAUUGUUGGGCUUUUGAUGCAACCUAGCGUUACUGAGAAUGUUUCUGUAAUUCCCAUAGUUGGGAUUGGGGGGCUAGGCAAGACAACUCUGGCUAAACUUGUGUAUAAUGA